rnacentral:rRNA from 1 species
GUGCCAGCAGCUGCGGUAAUACGUAGGACGCAAGCGUUGUCCGGAAUUAUUGGCGUAAAGAGCUCGUAGGCGGUUGUCGCGUCUGCUGUGAAAAUCCGAGGCUCAACCUCGGACCUGCAGUGGGUACGGGCAGACUAGAGUGUGGUAGGGAGACUGGGAAUUCCUGGUGUAGCGGUGGAAUGCGCAGAUAUCAGGAGGAACACCAAUGGCGAAGGCAGGUCUCUGGGCCACAACUGACGCUGAGGAGCGAAAGCGUGGGAGCGAACAGGAUUAGAUACCCUGGUAGUCCACGCCGUAAACGGUGGGCACUAGAUGUGGGCUCUUUCCAUGAGUUCCGCGUCGCAGCUAACGCAUUAAGUGCCCCGCCUGGGGAUACGGCCGCAAGGCUAAAACUCAAAGGAAUUGACGGGGCCCGCACAAGCGGCGGAGCAUGCGGAUUAAUUCGAUGCAACGCGAAGAACCUUACCAA